UAGAAUUCGUGAUUACAAAAA
rnacentral:piRNA from 1 species